rnacentral:lncRNA from 10 species
UUAUAUAACCCUUAAACCUUUCAGGACUGGAAAAUUUGCUAUACUGGAUUGUUAGAUAGCCUAUAUUGAGUCUCUGAUAAUUCAAGACCAAUCAAGAUUUUAGAGGAGAAUACUGCAUGAGGUCAAAGUUAAGGCUAUACCCAAAACACAUGAGAUUUCACGUAUGAAGUCCAAACACAUUGCCUUGCACAAAAAUUCCAUGAUGGUUCAGGAUUUCUUGCUUUUUAGGGUUGCACUAAAAUUUUAGUUUACUAAGGAAAUGAAUUCUCUGGAGGCAGAGAACAUAAGGUCAAUUCACAAUGACUUCCUAAAACUGAUUUAAAUGGAAACAGUUUUGAUUUACAUGGAAACCCUUCAGCUAAGACAGGAAAUACCUUCUUCAUAUUUAAACCCCAGAAAAUUCUGUAAUGGGUCUCUUGAGCCCCUGUGCUUAGGCCUGCUCCCACCCUGUGGAAUGUACUUUUUUUUUUCUUUUCUUUUUUUUUUUUUUUUUUGAGACAGAGUCUCGCUCUGUCACCCAGGCUGGAGUGCAGUGGCACAAUCUCGGCUCACUGACUGCAAGCUCUGCCUCCCAGGUUCACAGCAUUCUCCUGCCUCAACCUCCUGAGUAGCUGGGACUACAGGCGCCUGCCGCCACGCCUGGCUAAUUUUUUGUAUUUUUAGUAGAGAUGGGGUUUCACCAUGGUCUCAAU